GACGAACGCUGGCGGCGUGCUUAACACAUGCAAGUCGAACGAAGAGCGAUGGAAGCUUGCUUCUAUCAAUCUUAGUGGCAAACGGGUGAGUAACGCGUAAUCAACCUGCCCUUCAGAGGGGGACAACAGUUGGAAACGACUGCUAAUACCGCAUACGAUCUAAUCUCGGCAUCGAGGAUAGAUGAAAGGUGGCCUCUACAUGUAAGCUAUCACUGAAGGAGGGGAUUGCGUCUGAUUAGCUAGUUGGAGGGGUAACGGCCCACCAAGGCGAUGAUCAGUAGCCGGUCUGAGAGGAUGAACGGCCACAUUGGGACUGAGACACGGCCCAGACUCCUACGGGAGGCAGCAGUGGGGAAUCUUCCGCAAUGGACGAAAGUCUGACGGAGCAACGCCGCGUGAGUGAUGACGGCCUUCGGGUUGUAAAGCUCUGUUAAUCGGGACGAAAGGCCUUCUUGCGAAUAGUGAGAGGGAUUGACGGUACCGGAAUAGAAAGCCACGGCUAACUACGUG
rnacentral:rRNA from 1 species